UUAAAGUACUCAACCUGCCACAGAACUAGCAGUGCCAUGCUCUUUCCUCACACAACUACUUUUAUGAAAGUUUAUCAAGUUAUAGCUAAGAUUUAAAUAAACCAGCUUUACAACAGCAAACCAGCUAAGAAAAUACAACAUAUUAACUAGAGACAACCAAAUUCAGUGGACCACACGAUACAGGUGCCGACCGGACCAGACUAUCAACUGGAUGCAGGAAGAACAAACUCAAUCAAACCUCUGGUGCUUCUGUUGCUGCUGAGAUGUUGAUGUUGGACGAUGGAUGGUUGCCCCAAGGACAUGGCCCAGUCCUGGCCCCUGCUAAAGGAGCCCUGCCCCGCCGCUCCCAGCACAAGGCCCGGGCUCUGACAUGACGACACCAGGCCUUGAUGAUGAUUGAUCGUGUUGUUUUCUUCAUUACUUUAAACCCAAUCAGUGCUUGCUGUAAUUUGAGUAAUGAUAGCUCAUUAUUGGCAAUUUCAGAGUUUAAGGGCUUCUUUAUUUUAUCUCACUGAGGGACCCUUUGGGACGGCAUUAAAGGAUCAAUGAUUUUCCUCUGUGCAUACACACAGGGCCGGAUUGGAAAAUCCUAUUUCAACUCUGAAGUUCAAAUGAAUGGCCUGUACUUUAUACUGAGGGGGGGUUCGUUCUUUCACAACACUUUCAGUGACAACAGAGACGAACAGACCAGCUCAUAAUUUCCUGGAUCGGAUCAAUACAUUAUGAAUAAGAUAUAAUGGAUCAAACAAACAAGAAGAUAUAGAUGCACAUUUUUAAUAUACUUUCAGUAUAAUUAAGGUAAAUGGAGGCAAAAUAAAUAUGAAUAUAUAAAUCUGAAGUAGGGGCACUUUAAUUCAGAGCCCUUAAUGAGAAACUCAUUAAGUAUAAACACUUCAAUUAUACUGAUUACUGCAUAAGAUGUACUUACUUCUAAUAAUUCAGUUAAUUAUGGACCUGUUAAAAUGAUCAUAUGAAAAUGUUUUAAACUUAAUUAAUUAAAGAUAUUCUUCAGGUG